CCCUUGUUUUCAUUUGUAGUCUUCUCCUGCAAGCUGGAGCGGAUCCCAAUUCUCAAGAUGUCGACGAGUGGACUCCCCUUCACGCGGCUGCGCACUGGGGGCAGAAAGAAGCUUGCAAGUUAUUGGCUGAUUAUGGCGCUGACUUUACACUUAGGAAUCAUGUGGUACGUCAAUGAGCUUCUUGUUAUAUUUGUCACCCUCCUGUAGUAAUACUGGAGCAAUAGAGAUGAUCCUUACUGGACCUCUAGGAAGAACAGUUUAGAACUGAUAGAGCUAUCCAGUAUAAAUAAAGUUUAGUUCAGGUUUCCUCUUGUAGUAAUACUGGAUCAAUAAGAGAUGAUCCUUACUGGACCUCUAGGAAGAACAGUUUAGAACUGAUAGAGCUAUCCAGUAUAAAUAAAAUUAGUUUAGUUUAGGUUUCCUCCUGUAGUAACACUAGAUCAAUAAGAGAUGAUCCUGUUUAGAACUGAUAGAGCUAUCCAGCAUAAAUAAAGUUAUUUAGUUUAGGUUUCCUCCUGUAGUAACACUGGAUCAAUAAGUGAUGACUCUUACUGGACCUCUAGGAAGAACAGCUUAGAACUGAUAGAGCUAUCCAUGAAUAAAGUAUGAAUAAAGUAUGAAUAAAGUUAGUUUAGUUUAGGUUUCUUCCUGUAGUAACACUGGAUCAAUCAAUAGAGAUGACUCUUACUGGACCUCUAGGAAGAACAGUUUAGAACUGAUAGAGCUAUCCAUUAUAAAUAAAGUUAGUUUAGUUUAGGUUUCCUCCUGCAAUAAGUAAUAACACUGGAUCAAUAAGAGAUGAUCCUUACUGGACCUCUAGAGAGAAAAGUCAGUAAAUGCAUUUGCCAAAACACGAAAAAGUUUGCCCCCAAGAAAUCUGCUCAAAUUUUGAUUGAGGAACUUUGAAGAAACGUCUACCAAAUUCACGCUGAUCUCAUAUUAGACUGCAGAAACCUGAACUAUAUUAGUCUGUAUUUCAAAACCUCAACUGUGUCUGUGUUAGUAAGUGUACAUACUUCUAUCCUGCGUAAGACGAUGUCAUUGAAAUACCAGAAAAGUCUUGACAUGAGUCGUUUAUAUUUUUACAUUGAAAUCUCUUUUUCCGUUUUAUUAGGGUCUGACUCCCAUCGAUAUAGCUGAACCUGACAUAGAAAAAUAUUUAGAAGAAUUAAAGAAAAAACAAAUGGAGAAACCGAAAAUAAACGUAUGUAAAU